UCCACUGUAGGCUCAGUUGUUUAGAGUGUGGUGCCAAUAACACCAAGGUCGCAGGUUCAAUUCAGCUGCAUAUUCCUGUUUUGCAAAGGAU